rnacentral:rRNA from 1 species
UACGGAGGGUGCAAGCGUCAUCCGGAUUCACUGGGUUUAAAGGGUGCGUAGGAGGGCAGGUAAGUCAGUGGUGAAAUCCCCGAGCUUAACUUGGGAACUGCCGUUGAUACUAUCUGUCUUGAAUACCGUGGAGAUGAGCGGAAUAUGUCAUGUAGCGGUGAAAUGCUUAGAUAUGACAUAGAACACCAAUUGCGAAGGCAGCUCGUUACACGAAUAUUGACUCUGAGGCACGAAAGCGUGGGGAUCAAACAGG